ensembl:lncRNA
AUGGCAGAUGCACUACCAAGAAAUGGGGUAAAACUAGGCCAUGCACGUUUUCCAUGGCAGCUAAAUCAUCCUGUGCCAGGGCAGGCUGGGACUAGCCAGCCCCAGGGCCGGCUGAGCCAGAGCACGACGGGGAACCCGGGUGCGCUUUGUGCACGCACCCUGCGGUCAUGGCACGCUUUGUGCACGCACCCUGCAGUCACGGCGCACUUUGUGCACGCACCCCGCGGUCACGGCACGCUUUCUGCCCACACCCCGCAGUCACAGCACGCUUUGUGCAUGGCGGAGGCUCAUUCCUGGCCYCCUGCAGCACCAGGCGCUUCUCAGCAAAGUCGGCACAUACUGCGUCUGCUGCUUCGAACCCRACAGAGCUGUGGAAAGGCCAGUUCGAUGCCCAGCUUCUGCAGCAGAGCAGAGAUUUGUGCAGAAACAGAAAUUUUCACCAGCUCUGAGCUGCUGCAUUCAGGAGCCAGCGUGGGAGCGAGCCCUGGCCGGGGCUGCCCCCAUCCCCGUGCACAGGGACCCCGCGGCACUGCGUCCGCACRCGGUGCAUGUGCGCAAAGCGUGCCAAGGAGGAGAGGGACGUCUCCGCAGCAGCGAACAGCCAGGCGCCGGGGCGAACUCCUGCCCGGGAAGGGCAGCGUGCUGCUUGCUCUGCCGCUCGGGCCAGGAGGGAUCGAUGGCACCAUCAGCGUUUCAACACCGUGCGCGGCACGCCGGGGGCAUUCAUCGUCCCGUCACGAGCCUAAGGAAGGUCGCGGGCACCCAGCCAUACCAGGUUUUGUCCUGGCAGGAAGAACAUGCUGUGCAUAUUAUCAGCCUCGAUGUAUAAAGCAAAGGAAAACGGCGUCCGCCUUAGUYGUGGCUCAGUACGUGGACUGUUUGCAGAGGUGUUUUCUCCCCUCCGUGAUGCCGCAGAAGCGGAACGAAGCAGACGCUCAGGGCCUUGAGCAGCCGCUUUCCGGGCUGGCUCGGAGGAGCUGGCUGCCGCGCGGCAGCGUCGACCAGGAGGACAGGGGACAGGGCUUGUCACCCGGGACAUGGUCUUCAGCCAAAGGGCAGGGAAGCACCGCAGAGCUCCCGGGAGAGUACUGCACACCUGCAUCCGUCGCAGGGCUGCCGGGACCCCUGCGAGCCUCRGACGCGGCGCUCGCGUCUGCUCCUUCGUCCCUUGGGGCAGGCGGCGAGAACCGGGGAGGGACCAUCAGCACAGCCUGCUCAUCUAAAACCCGUUCGCUAGCCUCGUUAGGGAGGGCUCGACACCCCAGGCGUAACUGUCAGGUCAGCCCGCAAGCAGAGCCAGAAGUGCAGGCUCCUCCGCACAGAAASGAAGAGCGAAUUCCCGGCAAAAUGCUCAACCGGCCGGAAAACGAAGAAAACGUUGAGCUUGUGCAUGAUUGCGAGGAGGCUUCGCAGCGCCGCAGAGCGCUGGCCCUGCUGCAGCGGACGACCGGAGGAGGCCCGCUGCGAGCGCCGGGGCAGGCGGCGCCCCGAGGCCGGGCGCCCGGCAGGGACCCGUCGCCGGUGCCCUCCUGGGUCCGUCCCUGGGAGUGUCUCGGMCGGCGCCCUAGAUGCCGGGGCCUGGCGCUGGCACGAGGACGGGCGUCCGAGGGACCGCGAAAGCACCAGCUCGGCAUCAGGGACGUCGCAGGGACUUUGCCCAGCGAACACCCGGGCGCGGAGGGGAGAGCCGCUGCCGGCGGGUGGCAGAAACGCAAACGCUGCUGCGGGAUCGCUGCCGGGGAAGAYGAGGCAAAGCCCUGCAAAGCCCGAGCUGGCCUAGCGCAGCAACUGCAAUGGAAAUCAAUGUGUUUAACUGCUCCUCUGGCUGCAGUCCAUUGA